UACCUGGUGAGGACAAUUUAUCCUUGCUCUCUGUGUCCCCAGUGACUGUAGGAGACACCAUAGCUGCCCUUGGCCAGAGCCAGUUGGGUAGUGUCUAGGGGUCUGAGGGGCUA
ensembl:snoRNA